GACGAACGCUGGCGGCGUGCUUAACACAUGCAAGUCGAACGGAAAGGCCCUGCUUGCAGGGUAUUCGAGUGGCGAACGGGUGAGUAACACGCGGGUGAUCUGCCCUGCACUUCGGGAUAAGCCUGGGAAACUGGGUCUAAUACCGGAUAGGAGCCAUUCUUAGUGUGAUUGUUGGAAAGUCUUUUCGGUGUAGGAUGAGCUCGCGGCCUAUCAGUUUGUUGGUGGGGUAAUGGCCUACCAAGGCGGCGACGGGUAGCCGGCCUGGGAGGGUGGACGGCCACAUUGGGACUGGGAUACGGCCCAGACUCCUGCGGGAGGCAGCAGUUGGGAAUAUUUCACAAUGGGCGCAAGCCUGAUGCAGCGACGCCGCGUGGGGGAUGACGGCCUUCGGGUUGUAAACUCCUUUCGCUAGGGACGAAGCUUUUUGUGACGGUACCGAGAUAAGAAGCACCGGCUAACUACGUG
rnacentral:rRNA from 1 species